GGGGGGAGCACAGGAUCCUUGGCUGUGACCCCGACGCCCUGGGCUCUGGGGCCUGCACCGCUGGAAUCAGGCUCCGGGCCAUGCAGCCCCCU
rnacentral:pre_miRNA from 1 species